AUGAGGAACUAUUUUGCGGAUAUUCCCAUAUACCCCGAGUCCUACUUUUGGCGUCGUUUUAGGAUGAGCAUCGAGUUGUUCAAACACAUCGCAAAGAGACUGGCGAGCCAUAAUCGUUUUUUUUAGCAAAGGAGGAAUGCUGCCGGAGAACUCGGGCAUAGCACCUUUCAAAAGGUGACCGCCGCUUUGCGUAUGUUGGCAUACGGAAUUCUGGCGGAUCUAGUUGAUGAUCACUUGGCCAUGGGUGAGAGACAAGCCAUCAUGUGUGUCAAGCGCUUUGCGGUUGGAAUCAUGCAAGUGUUUGGUCCGAAAUAUUUGAGAGCUCCGAAUGCUGAAGACGCCACAAGGCUUUUGAAGAUGAAGAAAGCUUGUCGGUUCCCAGCUUGGUACAUCAUGAACGCUUGUGUGAUCAUGCAUAACAUGAUCAUCGAGAAUGAGCGUGGGCAAGAUUUGGAUUAUUCUCAGUAUGAGUUGUGUUGGGACGUCCCGUGCGAGUGCGGAGGAGGGUUAAGAGGGUGGCCCGCUUUGUUGCCUCCUAUCAUUGCCAUUCGGCGUGCUGAAACGCAUGAUGAACUUUAG
rnacentral:rRNA from 1 species